rnacentral:lncRNA from 1 species
GAGGAGGGGCACACAAAACACCCAUUUAUAAAUGACAGAGCUGGAAUAAGAACCCAUUUCUCUCCCAUAGUAAAGCCUAGACAUGCCCUUUCCAUGUUACCACACUUGGUACCUAGAGCUGAAGAGGACACAAGUCAAGAGCAUUAAUUGGGUCCUCUUUCUGAAACUCCCUCCAUUUAUUGCAGUGGAAGCUCCUGAGGAACAGAUUUUUGCUUGAGUCCAGCAACAUGAG